rnacentral:rRNA from 1 species
UACAGAGGGUGCGAGCGUUAAUCGGAAUUACUGGGCGUAAAGCGUGCGUAGACGGCUAUCUAAGUCAGGUGUGAAAGCCCCGGGCUCAACCUGGGAAUUGCAUUCGAGACUGAAUAGCUAGGGUACGGUAGAGGGAAGUGGAAUUUCCGGUGUAGCGGUGAAAUGCGUAGAUAUCGGAAGGAACAUCAGUGGCGAAAGCGACUUCCUGGACCAGUACCGACGUUCAGGCACGAAAGCGUGGGGAGCAAACAGG